rnacentral:rRNA from 1 species
GACGGGGGGUGCAAGCGUUGUUCGGAUUUACUGGGCGUAAAGCGUAUGCAGGCGGUUAAUUAAGUCUGGUGUUAAAUCCAAAGGCUCAACCUUUGUUGUGCAUUAGAAACUGAUUAACUGGAGAACAAUAGAGGAGGGUGGAAUUCCUAGUGUAGCGGUGAAAUGCGUAGAUAUUAGGAGGAACGCCUGUAGCGAAAGCGACCCUCUGGGUUGUUUCUGACGCUAAAAUACGAAAGCUCGGGGAG